rnacentral:rRNA from 1 species
UGGAUUGAGACAACGUACAAACCUUAUCGAUAAACAAUUGGAGGGCAAGUCUGGUGCCAGCAGCCGCGGUAAUUCCAGCUCCAAUAGCGUAUAUUAACGUUGUUGCAGUUAAAAAGCUCGUAGUUGAAAUGAAGGGUAGUUGUGUAAUGAAUACAUUCGUGUAUUUUGUUAUUCAAGUACCCUCCUUCUAAAUUCGAUAUAUGAGUAUUAAUUUACUUGUAUAUGGUUUUAGACUUUUACUGUGAGAAAAUUAGAGUGUUCAAAGCAGGCAUAUGCUUGAAUAUAUUAGCAUGGAAUAAUCAUGUAUGAUUUUCAUGAUGUAUUUGAUUGGUUUGGUUGAUGAGAAUAAGAUUAAAAGGGACAGUUGGGGGUAUUCAUAUUCAAUAGUCAGAGGUGAAAUUCUCGGAUUUAUGGAAGAUGAACAAGUGCGAAAGCAUUUACCAAGGAUGUUUUCAUUAAUCAAGAACGAAAGUUAGGGGAUCGAAGAGGAU